AUUGAACGCUGGCGGCAUGCUUUACACAUGCAAGUCGAACGGCAGCGCGGGCUUCGGCCUGGCGGCGAGUGGCGAACGGGUGAGUAAUACAUCGGAACGUGCCCAGUAGUGGGGGAUAGCUCGUCGAAAGCCGGAUUAAUACCGCAUACGACCUGAGGGUGAAAGCGGGGGAUCUUCGGACCUCGCGCUAUUGGAGCGGCCGAUGGCAGAUUAGCUAGUUGGUGGGGUAAAGGCCUACCAAGGCGACGAUCUGUAGCUGGUCUGAGAGGACGACCAGCCACACUGGGACUGAGACACGGCCCAGACUCCUACGGGAGGCAGCAGUGGGGAAUUUUGGACAAAGGGCGAAAGCCUGAUCCAGCAAUGCCGCGUGUGUGAUGAAGGCCUUCGGGUUGUAAAGCACUUUUGGCGGGAACGAAAAGGACUGUGCCAAUACCACGGUUCGAUGACGGUACCCGCAGAAUAAGCACCGGCUAACUACGUG
rnacentral:rRNA from 1 species